rnacentral:rRNA from 1 species
GACGAACGCUGGCGGCGUGCUUAACACAUGCAAGUCGAACGGAAAGGCCCUGCUUUUGUGGGGUGCUCGAGUGGCGAACGGGUGAGUAACACGUGAGUAACCUGCCCUUGACUUUGGGAUAACUUCAGGAAACUGGGGCUAAUACCGGAUAGGAGCUCCUGCUGCAUGGUGGGGGUUGGAAAGUUUCGGCGGUUGGGGAUGGACUCGCGGCUUAUCAGCUUGUUGGUGGGGUAGUGGCUUACCAAGGCUUUGACGGGUAGCCGGCCUGAGAGGGUGACCGGCAACAUGGGGACUGAGUACCGCCCGGGCCCCCGAGGGGGGGCGGGGGGGGGAAAGUUGGCACAAGGGGCGGAGCCCGGAGGCAGAACCCCCGGGUGGGGGAGGGGGGCCUGGGGUUUGAAAACCGCUUCCGCCUGAAAAGAAGGGGGAGGGAGGGAAGGGGAAAAAAAAGACCCGGCAAACUAGGUC